UACGUAGGGUGCGAGCGUUAAUCGGAAUUACUGGGCGUAAAGCGUGCGCAGGCGGUUCGUCGUGUCUGAUGUGAAAGCCCCGGGCUCAACCUGGGAAUGGCAUUGGAAACUGGCGAACUGGAGUGUGGCAGAGGGGGGUGGAAUUCCGCGUGUAGCAGUGAAAUGCGUAGAGAUGCGGAGGAACACCGAUGGCGAAGGCAGCCCCCUGGGCUAACACUGACGCUCAGGCACGAAAGCGUGGGGAGCAAACAGG
rnacentral:rRNA from 1 species